rnacentral:lncRNA from 1 species
GAUGUUUCAAUCAGACCGGAGUAAAGCUUCAUGGCUGAUUUUUUGUUCUCCGAUGAAUAUUGAGUUGUAAUAUAUAGAAUCCUUUCUUCGCAGCUAAUUAUGAUCUCGUUUUGCUUAAGAAGGGUCUUCUCUUUCCUCUCGGUUUGCACUUGCUCUUUUUUUAAAGGAAUCAAUCUCUGCUUAAUUAGAUUGAAGCCUUAAAGUUGGCUCUAAAGCGGAGUCUCCUUGAUAGAAAGGAAGCAGUGAUGUUGGAUUCACCUUGGAUGAUACUAGUGAGGAUUUAGAUGAAUCGGCAUCUUUAAGAUGGUCCGGUAAAGAUCCUAUUUAGGUCAUUUGAGUCUCUCCCAGAUAUAUUUUCCGAUGAUUGAUGGAGGUUCCUGCUUAAGCGGCGGUUAGGUGAAGGAUGGAGAUGAAGGAGUUCAUAACUGUGCUCGGCCGCGACGCUUUGCCGGCGGAGCUGUUUCAGAAAGCCUCUCACUCCAGCGGCGGCACGUCUUUGAUACGUGUCAUCUCAGAUCGAGGUGUUGUUUCAUGCAUAUCGAGA